AUGGCAGGCCCUUUUGUUGUAAAUUUUACAUUUGUCGACAAUGACCAAGAGAAGUACUUCACAUAUAACUUACUAGACGAGACAAUCAUUUUCCAUCAUCUGUUGGAUGUCUCAGGUCAAACAAAAUCUUUCCUUUGGCUUGAGAGCUCACAAGACUGGGUGAUGACCUAUGCCCAACCCAGAGUUCAAUGUGAUGUAUUUGCUGUUUGUGGACCAUUCACAAUUUGUAAUGAUAAUACGCUUCCAUUCUGCAACUGUAUGAAAGGAUUCUCCAUAAGAUCGACUAGUGACUGGGAGCUAGAUGAUCAAACAGGCGGCUGUGUGAGAAAUACUCCAUUAGAUUGCAGUAUCAACAAAAACACAAGUGAGGAAGACAGGUUCCACCCUAUCACAUGUGUUGUAUUGCCCAAUAACGGUCACAGCACAGAAGAUGCUACAAGUGCAGAUAAAUGUGCCGAAGUUUGCCUUGGCAACUGCACUUGUGCUGCAUAUUCUUAUGGUGUCAAUGGAUGCUUUGUUUGGAAUGGUGAGAUUAUUAAUGUGAAACGGCAACAAUGUGAUGGUACUACAGAUACUAACAAAGCCACUCUUUACAUUCGCCUAGCCAACAGAGAGGUGCAAAGGUUGGAAAGCAACAGAAGACGGAUAAUCAUCGGCAUAUCAAUUGGUGCGAGUGUUGCUUUCUGCGGUUUAUUGUCACUCUUCUUGCUACUGGUGAUUAAGAGGAACAAGAGGUUGUCUGCUCAUAGAAUGGAAAACCUUCAAGGUGGUGAGGGCAUUAUUGCGUUUAGAUACGUUGAUUUGCAACGUGCAACAAAAAACUUCUCUGAGAAGCUAGGGGCAGGUGGUUUUGGUUCUGUAUUCAAGGGGCUUCUAAAUGACUCCACUGCCAUAGCAGAUAAAAGACUUGAUGGUGCUUGCCAAGGAGAGAAGCAGUUCAGAGCUGAAGUGAGGUCAAUCGGAUUCAUUCAGCAUAUCAAUCUAGUUAAUCUAAUUGGCUUUUGUACUGAGGGCGAUAGUAGGUUGCUUGUCUACGAACAGAUGCAAAACCGUUCUCUUGAUGCUCAUUUAUUUCACAACAAUGCUACAGUUUUGAAAUGGAGCGUUAGGCAUCAAAUAGCUCUUGGAGUUGCUAGAGGACUGGUCUACUUGCAUGAUAGUUGCCGGGAUUGCAUCAUACAUUGUGACAUUAAGCCAGAGAACAUACUUCUUGAUGUGUCAUUUGUUCCGAAAAUAGCAGAUUUCGGGAUGGCAAAGUUUCUCGGAAGGGAUUUUAGUCGAGUUCUCACUACAAUGAGAGGAACAAUUGGAUAUCUAGCACCUGAAUGGAUUAGCGGAACUGUUAUUACAGCAAAAGUCGAUGUCUACAGCUAUGGCAUGGUUUUGUUGAAAAUUGUAUCAGGAAAGAGGAACUCGGGUAGACAAUGUACAACCAGUGAUGAUUAUGUGUAUUUCCCUGUGCAAGUUGCAAGCAAACUACUCGAAGGGGAUGUGGAGAGUUUGGUGGACAGCAAUCUACAUGGAGAUGUCCAUUUGGAACAGGUGGAAAGAGCUUUGAAGGUUGCAUGCUGGUGUAUUCAAGAUGAUGAGUUUGAUCGACCCACAAUGGGUGAAGUAGUUCAAUAUCUUGAAGGUUUUCUUGAAGUCGACAUACCCCCAAUGCCAAGACUACUUGAAGCAAUUGCAGGGAAUCCACACUCGAAAUUUGAUGGGUACCUGGACCAAGAUUCACAAGAGGCAGGCAAACUGCAACAUACCUCAGAGCUUCAUGAAGACAGGUUGCUGCAAUGA
rnacentral:rRNA from 1 species